rnacentral:rRNA from 1 species
GACGAAGGGGGCUAGCGUUGUUCGGAAUUACUGGGCGUAAAGCGCGUGUAGGUGGUUGUCCAAGUUGGAUGUGAAAGCCUUGAGCUCAACUCAAGAAAUGCAUUCAGGACUGGAUGGCUAGAGGACCGGAGAGGAUAGUGGAAUUCCCAGUGUAGUGGUGAAAUACGUAGAGAUUGGGAAGAACACCAGUGGCGAAGGCGGCUAGCUGGACGGUUUCUGACACUAAGACUCGAAAGCGUGGGGAGCAAACAGG